rnacentral:rRNA from 1 species
AAUAUUGGACAAUGGGCGCAAGCCUGAUCCAGCCAUGCCGCGUGAGUGAAGAAGGCCUUAGGGUUGUAAAGCUCUUUUACCAGGGACGAUAAUGACGGUACCUGGAGAAUAUGCCACGGCAGACUUCGUGCCAGCAGCCGCGGUAAUACGAAGGGAGCUAGCGUUGUUCGGAAUUACUGGGCGUAAAGCGCACGUAGGCGGGUCGUUAAGUCAGGGGUGAAAUCCCGGAGCUCAACUCCGGAACUGCCUUUGAUACUGGCGAUCUAGAGAUCGAGAGAGGUGAGUGGAAUUCCGAGUGUAAAGGUGAAAUUCGUAGAUAUUCGGAAGAACACCAGUGGCGAAGGCGGCUCACUGGCUCGAUACUGACGCUGAGGUGCGAAAGCGUGGGGAGCAAACAGG